rnacentral:lncRNA from 1 species
CUGUAUUUUGCAUCUUGUAGUGUGUGUUCUAAAAGCGGCUGGUGCAUCUGGAGCACCAAUUCCACCAUUUCAUAGGGUAUAGCUCAUAUUUUUUUACUGUAUUGUGUUCAAGAAGAAGCAUACCUAUCUCUUUCACAAUGAUUAGGCAACCACAGCCCCUUUCAGAAGACUCAAAAUCACCAUGUGUAUUGUGAAGAUGUGCCUUUGUAACGUCGUAAUAUAUUUAUUUGUUUGUUUGUUGUUAGAGUUGAAUUUUUUCUUUCUUAGAAGCCAAGUGUUAUUUAUGCUAUGCAGAAUGUGCAGAUUUGUUUGGUGCCAUCUUUUCCAAUGCUAAGCAGCCAAGUAUUCCUUGCUAGUACAAUGUAUUGUUGAUGAUUAUUUAAGUACACUUUGUCGUGUUGUGCUCAAAACUGAAUGGUUUGUUUGGUGCCAUCUCUUCCAGGAAAUGAAGAUUGAUGAGCUAGAAGGACUAUAACUGGAUGCAAAGGGAACUAACUUUUCUUUCAUGUGCUAUCAAGAUAACAAACCUGAUGCAAGCUUUGGUAGCGAUGCGUAUUCAGCGGGGAUCACUUUAGUACUUCAUACUUGGGGCUUGCUGUUCAUGUACUAGAAAAUUAUUAUGUCAUGUUAUGUGCCAAGUUAUAUAUGUAUGUCUCUUGUGUACUCAAAUUAGGAUGGAUGACAUGCACUCAAAUUAGGAUGGAUCACUUCAGUCCUUCAUACUCGGCUUGCUGGUUUUCUGUAUGGUUGGGCAACAACAAUCUGCACUGCUUACAAAUUGUGCUGCUGCAGUAUAUGGAAGCAUCAAUCACCUGAAAUCUGGAGCAUUUUUAACAUGAAGUUCUCCUGAAAAAACUUGUAUUCAGAAUGCAGAUUUGUGUCACGGACCUAUGAUGUACUUUGUGUCGUAAUUAUUUUAAACUCCACAAAACAGUUCUUGAGGACACCACGCUCUUGCAGUCUGAUGUGAUCACAUAUUUAUUAGAGAUGCU